UACAGAUCCCGUGGAAGGAACAGAUUCACCCGGCAGCUGCAUCCUGCUAAACCCGGCAUGGAGCUCCGAGUCCUCCUCUGUCUACUGGCUUCUCUCCAGAUCCUGCCCCAGCCGGUGUUCCCCGCAGCCCCCCUGCCAGUCCCCACAGUCACUGUGGACCCCCAGUACCCUGUGUAUGUCCCAGAGGAGCGUGUCACCCUCAGAUGCUCGGCCCCCC